rnacentral:lncRNA from 1 species
GCAGAGUGAGAAGGACUAGUGGCCCAACAAAGGGGGGGAUCGAUGGCGGUCUGCCAAAUGCCACGACCGGCUCCGCAUUCUCGUUCACCACAGGCCGCUCACUCAUGCCGCCAUCAUCUUCGUGCCUGUUCCUGACUGAUAUCGUCAUUGCUCCUGUGUAAUCAUCACAGAGAGAAACAAAGAAAGGAAACAAAAAAAAAAAAGAAAUUGAAUUAAAACAGUUCAUUGCAAGCAAAAAGCAAAAUGAGAUGAUGAUCCACCCCCAUUAGUGUUGACGCACUCAUCUCUUACUUGAUGUGCCUCCGAGUGGAUGGAUUUUUUUCAGAGUGUUCUUCACAGGAAACUUGGUGAUUCUAAGCAUUGUUGGGCACUAGACUUUGAUGAAUUGGGGAAGCUGCUGAUCCUGUAAUGCAGACAUAAACAAGGGCAGACCAGGGUUAACUGGUGAUGGAAUAUGGUACAAAGUCACAAUGUAUUUUGCUCCAAUUAACUAUCUUUUUGAGAAAAGUGAUAGGCGUUAGCUUAUAAUAGCGUAUUAUCUUGCAUUGAUACUAUUAUAGAUCAUAUAACAGAAUAAUGCCGUACUGUCCUCAGGAAAAAAAAAAGACUAUAGAGAAUCUGAUGAAGAUCCACGAAAGAAUUAUUUGUUUUAAAAAAUAUAACGUUAAUGGCGUUAAUAUAACAAUAUAGGAUGCUAAACUAAGGAACUCGACAAGUUUUUUGUCGUAAGACCAAGUUCAAACUUAAAAUGUGAGUUUCUAAAAAACUGAUGAAGACUAGCUGAAGGCUGGUUAGGAGCUUGGGGAGAGAAUACAAUGUGUUUGGCGAGGAGUGGAUAAUAAGAAAAUCCACUGUUAGAAAGAUGGAAAUGGAUGAGGUGAAUUGAUGUAAACGAAAGGCGAUGGUUAUUGAUAGGUACAAUAUGCCUUCACAAUUAGCGACAAUGAUUAUGUUACAGUAUAUCCCAGUGGCCAUGCACCUGUAGAUUCUCAGGUUCUUGAUUCUAACUGUCGUGUAAAUUGGAAUGCUAAAGCUAUUCAAAGAUUUACGAAGACUAACACAUGCAAAUUUUAGAUGGACAGAGAAGCCAGAUUUAAUCCAAUAGUCUUAGACCUCAGACUGAUGAUAUCAUAGACCAACUAGCUAGUUCUCUAAUCUUCUCCAUGUCCCAUCUGAGGAGAUGGCACCAUCAAAGACACAUAAUGCUGAGAAAUGAGAAGUCGAUGGAAUUCAAUACUAGGGCUAUGGGUGGCUGAGAUGUCAUACAAACCGAAUAAAGAAUGGGCUUCAGUGGUCGCAUCUUCAAGGACCUUUGUCUCAUGAUACCCUUGCACACAACUCAGGUUAGCAAUCGCAACGACACCAUCUUCAUCAAUUUUUGUAAACUAUUUAAUUUUUUGUUAAUCUAGAAAAAUAAUUAGUCAAUGUUGGAAAGCUAGCAUGUGUCGUUGGAAGGCACCAAGAUGGGUUCUAGAUAAUAACAACAAAAAUCUCUUGAAAGCGUCAGUUACUGUGAAUUCACAAGAUUCCAUGCUCUGCUCACCAUUAUCACUGUUUUAUAUGAAACUUACGCUCUACUGCAGCACAUAUCACUUUUCUUUGAAGAAGGAUUUCCAAAUCGUUUGAGAAAAAUUGUAUUUUUCUAGCCAAAGAAGAUCACCAAAGCAGCUCUUUAUUUGGUGAUAAAGGUGAGAGGAUUGAGAAAUUAGCAAACUACCUGAAGAAGGCCAAACAGGCAUGGACAAGAACAACGAAAGGCAGAGGAAGCCUAAUAAGCACAAGACUGCAUAAACCUUUCAAAAUGGAAAUCUAAUUUUUGUAGAUCUCUGAAAAGGUCAUUUUGAACAUUGUUGUAUUCGUUAUCAUGAACCAGAGUAAAACCAUAAAAAAUGCUCAUAACAUUGAGAUUCCAAGCUUAUAUGCCAUCAACAGUACUUCGUGUUCGAGACUUGUCAUCAUACAUGCAAAAGUAAAAAUUGAACCCAGAUCCCUCCGUAUUGCUACAUCCAUUUCCUAAGGUGCUACAAAAAGAAAGUGAAAUAUGAACCAUGAAGUUUCUCCUUGGAGAAUCCUUUAGAAUACCUUUCAGGGGAACAAUUUGGACCUUGCAACACACCCAUUGGAGUCGUUGAAGCUAAAGGGAUGGAGAAAUAACACUCAAAGCCAAAGAGAAAAUGUCAUUUAUUCAUUGGACUUUUGAUACGUGAUUUUUAUUUUGAAAAUGGGAUAUCAAACAACUUUUUGCCAACUCUUAUGGAAUACCUGAUAAGAGGAGGUAUAAACAAAGGUCACUUUAUG